UUUUUUUUUCAAUGACAACGUAACAGAAGUAUUUUCCUCGAAUUGUCUGCCUGAUUUACGUUUUGUAUUCAAUCUCCUAAAACAACAGUUUGAAAACCACGUAUUUUCGCUCCAAAUAUUUAAAAAAACAAAUUAUAAAAAAUGGAACCAAUGACACUUGGAAGUCCCGUUCAAAGUC